GUUUUCGCCGUUGAAGUUGCUGGUUUCUUCUCUGCAGUUCAGCGAAGAUCAGAAGCAGAAGACAGCAAGGUUUUGGAGACUUUGUGGCCCAUUUUCAAGCCCUUCCCGGCCUCCGUUGGUGUCGCCGCUUUGGGGUUUAUCGACCGCCUUGGUGUCGUGGUCGCCGUGAACUCACCGGCGCGCAAAACCGGUGAGUUUAUCCUCUAAUUCUUGCUUAGUGAGUUAAUGACGCUUAGGGGUGUUUAGAUUAGUCUAAUUAGGUUUAUGUGAUUAAAUUAUAUUAUUUUAAUGUAAAUUAGAUUAGUUGUAUAAUUAGUUUAAUGGAUGUUUAAUUAGGGCUAAUUAUAUGUUUAAAUUAGUGUAAUCUAGUUUAAGCCCUAAUUAAUUAUUUUUAAUUAAAUAAUUAUUUCGAAUUUAUAAAUAUUAUUUUAUAAAAUUAUAUUAUUAUAAUAUAAUAUUUAAUUAUUUAAUUUUCGGAAUUAAAUUUAAUUAUUUAAUAAUUUCGAAAAUUAUGCCGGGAUGACCGGUUGUUAGAAUUUCGCGCUGAUCGCAGCAGUGCAGUCGGUUUGUAUUAAUUGUAUGUUUAAAUUGAGAAAUUGAGUGAUUGAUGAUUAUGGUUAAUUAUUCCAAAAGUAUGGAAUUGAGUGAUAUUGAUGAAGUUGUGGUAUUCAACUUGAAAAUACCUGGUGUUGGCUUUUAGCACCGUAAUUGGUUUGUAUGACUAGUUGGAAUCGUUGGUUGUUAUUGUAUUAAAUAUCCAGUUAUAUGGUUUAUUAUUGAAUGAUCAGCUUUGGCGAGCAUUUGUUUAUAUAUAUGUAUCAGCUUGGGCGAGCAAUUAUGAUAUAUAUAUAUGGCAGCUUCUGGUGAGCUAAGAUCGUUUUAUCAGCUUGUGCGAGCACGAUCUAUAUAUAUAUAUCAGCUUGUGAGAGCAAUGAUCGUUUAUCAGCUUGUGAGAGCAACGAUCCAUAUAUCAGCUUGUGCGAGCUAUCAUCUAUGUAUAUAUCAGCUUGUGCGAGCUACCAUCUAUAUCAGCUUGUGAGAGCAUUGCAUCCAUUUCAGCUUGUGCGAGCCGUAAUUGUAUUGAUGGAUGAAUAGAUGGUAUGGUUUAAUAGAUGAUAUGAAUUGAUAGAUGUGUGGAUCGUAUGAUAUCAAUUGGAUUGAUUGAAUUGAUAGACCGAUGGGUUUGUCGGUAGUUUCAGCUUGUGCGAGUAUUGUUGAAUAUGAAUUGUACUGACGUGCAGGAAAGGGACUGAGGCGAGGUAAGCCCUCUAUCCUAUUUGUGUGGCUAGAGCGCCCUGAGGCGUAUUUUCUUCCUAAUUUAGUUUUAGAGGGUAGGACUCGCUGAGACGUAGUCUCAUCCCGGUUGUGGGAUAAUAUUCAGGUCCCUAGAUGACGGUCGUGGAGGACCGGAAGUCCUGGAGUUCGGAAGGUGGAGGCUGAAGAAUCGGUGAACGUGUCUGACAAGUUGGUCAUAGGACAGUUCCCUAGUUGUUGAGCCUGUCUAUUUUGUAGACAAUCCAG
rnacentral:lncRNA from 1 species